AUGAAGAACGCAGCGAAAUGCGAUAAGUAAUGUGAAUUGCAGAAUUCAGUGAAUCAUCGAAUCUUUGAACGCACAUUGCGCCCGCCAGUAUUCUGGCGGGCAUGCCUGUUCGAGCGUCAUUACAACCCUCAGGCCCCCGGGCCUGGCGUUGGGGAUCGGCGGAAGCCCCCUGCGGGCACAACGCCGUCCCCCAAAUACAGUGGCGGUCCCGCCGCAGCUUCCAUCGCGUAGUAGCUAACACCUCGCGACUGGAGAGCGGCGCGGCCACGCCGUAAAACACCCAACUCUUCUGAAGUUGACCUCGAAUCAGGUAGGAAUACCCGCUGAACUUAAGCAUAUCAAUAAGCGGAGGA
rnacentral:misc_RNA from 1 species